UAUGCUUGUCCCGAAGAUUAAGCCAUGCAUGCCUUCGAUUUUGUAGCUUGAUUAAAUCUGCGAUGGGCUCCGUACAACUGUUGCAACCCACCAGCGCCCCGGGGGGACCCGUGCGGCCUCGUCUUCAAGAACACGUAAGUAUAGCCUCUUCAACAAUCUGGUAUGUAAAAUGGUAUGGUAAAAAAGUAAGCAAAUUUGGAAAUGUCCUCGGCGGAUAACCGAGGUAAUUCUUUGGCUAAUACGUGCUUGGAGAACCAAUGGUCGGGCUCUCAGUGAACCUGGCAUCCCCCGCAAACGCCGGGGGAAUCAACUGCCAGAACACCUGCAAAGGCACCGUUGGGGCCGCCGAAACUGAACGCCGGUUGCCUGCCGUCGCCCUUCUUUGGGCGGCGUCGGGUCUUCCACGUGAGGUGGCUGGCGACGCCCUACCGGCGUUCUUUCGCCGGUGCGCAUUGAGGGGCCUCCGACCUAUCAACUGGGAUGAAUGGAGCCCGGCUCCACAUGGUUGCAACGGGUACAGAGGAUUAGGGUUCGGUCCUGGAGAGGUAGCCUCAAAAAUCGCUACCACUUCUAAGGAAGGCAGCAGGCGCGCAACGUUCCCAAUGGGGAAGCCCUGAGGACGUGAGGGGACAUAGCAAUGCCGGGCGAUUUAAAGCUUGGCAAUUGAAAUGGGGGCGAUUUAAAUCCCCCACCGAGUAACA
rnacentral:rRNA from 1 species